GUCCAGACACAGAAGAGGCAAGAUGUGACUACGCUGCUGAAAAAGGUUUGGGUGGCCGGGAACUGUGCAGCUUCUGUCAAAAGACUGGUACGCCAAAGUGGGGCUGACUACAUCCACAUAAAACCUAAGAGAGCUUGGAAAGGAAUUUAAGACACAAAAGAACAAAGUUAAGCAUGGCUUUUUGAUAGCCAGCAUUUUUUUUCCCCGGAUGGGCUCUGUUUGCUGACUGCAAAUAGUAGUACCUCAGCUCAUUUAACAGAAGACUUACUGACUCAGUAUAAGAAACAGUGCCUUCCUGGUUUGUGCUGGAAGCAUGAAUUCUGACUCUUUCAGGAGGCUGGGCACUUAAAUGGGGUUUGUGAGUAGGACACUACUGGUUGUGUAAUGGUGACAUAGACCCUCUGCAACCCUGAAGCUGGCGAAGCACGCAUGGCUCUCAGAGGCCAUGUUGGACUGGGUGGAGGCAAAGAUGGAUUCUUUCCAGACUAAUGUGGUUUGAUGGACCAAGAUUCUCUGAAAGGUCUCCAUGAAUGUGAAAAACUACAGCUUACAGAGAACUACGCCCAAAUUCCCAAAAAUUGUUUAUAAAUGAUUGUUUUAUCUUAAACAGGGUUAAUUGUAAGUGAUUAAUGGUCACAGUCAAUUUCUGUGAAAAAUGUAAGGGGGAUAUGAUAUAGAGAUGAACACUUUGCAUUGGUAUGGAUCUUGCUUUAUUAAUACAAAUUUAAAGGUCAAUUUUGUUAUAUGUAUAUUUAUGCUUUAGAUUCAGGUAUUGCAUUUGUGUGAAGCUCAUUUAAAAAUGUAAUUUAUAAUUAAGAAAUACAAGUUAAUAGAUAGUAAU